rnacentral:rRNA from 1 species
ACGAACGCUAGCGGCGUGCCUAAGGUAUGCAAGUCGAACGGGGGGAGCAAUCCCCCAGUGGCGAACGGUCGAGUAACACGUAGACCACCUGCCUUCCAGUGGGGGAUAACAGCGGGAAACUGCUGCUAAUACCGCAUGUGGCGUCCCGAAGCCUUUCGGGAUGGCUAAAGGAGCAAUUCGCUGGGAGAUGGGUCUGCGGCCUAUCAGCUAGUUGGUGAGGUAACGGCCCACCAAGGCGACGACGGGUAGCUGGUCUGAGAGGAUGAUCAGCCGGACGGGGACUGAGACACGGCCCCGACUCCUUCGGGAGGCAGCAAUGAGGAAUAUUGCGCAAUGGGGGAAACCCUGACGCAGCGACGCCGCGUGGGUGAGGAAGUCCUUCGGGAUGUAAAGCCCUUUUUUCGGGGACGAUACAAGACGGUACCCGAAGAAUAAGCCCCGGCUAACUACGU